ACCACUUCCUCUUCCUCUCUCUCCCACAUCCAGCCGUGAAGUGAACAGUUUUCCACCUCCAUGACGUGCUGCUUCAUCACAAGUCCAAGCCAAGAGCACCAACUGACCAUGGCCCUAAUAAAACUUUCUUCUUUAUUAGUUGAUCAUCUCCAGGAUUUGUUACAGUAACAGCAAGUUGACCAACACAGUGAGGUCAAACAUCAAGGAAACUACAUUUGCCAAGAGCUAAAAGAAACAGUUGAUCUUAUACUGAAAGUGGAAUCAAGAUGCACCAACAAACACAGCCAGGGAGAUGGUGAGAACUACAGGAAGUGUUUGUCUACCUGAAGCGGUCCCUGUAGGAAUCAUGGCCUCCAGCCCACUCAAGAGCAUCUUGCCAAGUCAUUGACACUGAGCACCUGUAAAGUCACAAUAAGCUAUAUUUACCAAACCUGGAACAUUCUGAACAUUCACGCCUGUAAUUUCUUGGGUCUGCAUCAACACAAUUUGGUUCCUGCUGGAGUUAAAGUCAUGGGAGGCAAUAUGCAGCAUGUAUAUGUUUAGAACAUGGAAAGCAAGACUUGGAAAGGUGAAGAGACUUUCUCAAGGUUAAUAAAAGAAG
rnacentral:lncRNA from 1 species